GAUGAAGAACGUAGCGAAAUGCGAUAAGUAAUGUGAAUUGCAGAAUUCAGUGAAUCAUCGAAUCUUUGAACGCACAUUGCGCCCUGUGGUAUUCCGCAGGGCAUGCCUGUUCGAGCGUCAUUUCAACCCUCAAGCCCCGCUUGGUGUUGGGCCCCGCCCGCUGUGGCCGGCCCUAAAGACAGUGGCGGCGCCGCCUGGCCCUCAGCGUAGUACAUCUCUCGCUCCAGGGUCCGGUGGCCGCCUGCCAGAACCCCCCAACUCUGUGGUUGACCUCGGAUCAGGUAGGGAUACCCGCUGAACUUAAGCAUAUCAAUAAGCGGAGGA
rnacentral:misc_RNA from 1 species